GACGUAGGAUGCAAGCGUUGUCCGGAUUUACUGGGCGUAAAGAGUUCGUAGGCUGUAGUCUAUGUCUGGUGUUAAAUAAUAGAGCUUAACUCUAUAGGUGCAUUAGAAACUGGAUUACUAGAGCUAGGUAGGGGUUAGAAGAAUUCCUGGUGUAGCGGUGAAAUGCGUAGAUAUCAGGAGGAAGACCGGUGGUGAAAACGUCUAACUGGGCCUAUGCUGACGCUGAGGAACAAGAGCUAGGGGAGCAAAAGGG
rnacentral:rRNA from 1 species